UUUAUUGAUGUUCAGUUGCAAUGUAACGCAGCCAAGCUGUAGUAUUUCAAUGUACAAAACUUUUAUUCCGAAGACACAUGUAAUUUAAAGUUGUUUCUGUCAUUAAACAGUAAAAUAUUACACAUAAAGGCAUUUGAACAUCUCAAAAACCGGCAGCUUAAAGCUUACUCGAUCCAAAUUCAUAUACAUAUAUGUAUAGCAUGGGACAAUACUUAAAGAUAUUACGGCCAAUUUACAGUUUAAUCUUGGCCUCAAACAAAAACUUGCUAAGAAAGCCUGGAGUUGCUGCUCUUAACAGAGCUGUAGCGCCAAACUGGUUGCGAUAAACGCACAUACCCGACCCUAACACCAUGAUGGUACACAAAACAACAUACUCAAACCAAAACCUUAAAUAUGUAUCCCAACUGAAGGGUCAUCUCCAAACCAAUCAUUUUGUGCAUAAUAAGAUGUAAUUUUUACCGAAGCUUAUCUUGCAAAUAAAACAGCGCCAAAAAUCCUAAUAUUAUCACAAAA